rnacentral:lncRNA from 1 species
UACAAAAACCAUAAUAGAGCGGCUAACAAAAUGAAAUCAGAGUUUCUAGCUCGGCUACAAAAAUGGCGCGAAGCAUGGCAUAUGAACAAAUCUCUGACUGGCCGCUCUUGGCUAGGUCAACUUCUAAUCAUGUACAUCAUUACCUGCAUCAUAAGAACCUAAUGAGCUAAUGGCUCAGCAAGUUGAAACGGAUGUAAUAGCAAUAUAUCACAUAACACAUUAUUCAUUCAAUAUGUGCAAUAUCACAUAUAACUUCAUUCGUGAUCUUUUUCUUUGAAAUCUUUCUUUUUAUCGGGUACCCUUGAAGUGUGGUACUUGACUGAUAGCAAUAGGCUUUCGUUUUCGGAACCUGUUCAUGAUAUUUGGCCAAUAGAUAAUACGGGGUUUCCAUACCGGCCUUUCGACCUCAGGUAUUAGCCGUACUUUAUUUCAUUAAUUGUGGGUUUUCCAUACUGGUCUUUCGACCUCAGGUAUUUGCCACCAUGUGUUGGGUCCGCCGGUUCCUCCCGCGUCCCUUGCCUACUCGACCAUCAAUCAAGUACCAUACUCCCAUUUUCAAAACAUAUUCUUUCAUAUCGCUAUGAAUCAUCAAUCAUUCAAACAUCAUGGAGAACACGUAGCAAAAGUCACAUUAAAGAACACAUAAUUAGGUUCUUAUGAUGAGCAAAUGAAAGCUUCAACUUACCUCAAAAUCAAUAUGGUUUAUGAAGUGAAAGGAUCAGCAGUCUUAGAUAAGGUGUGCUAGAAGCCUUGAUUAGAGAUGAAUUCAAACUUCAAAACAUAGGAUUUUCAGCUAGAAAAGGUGCAGAACUUGUUCUAGCUCUACUUCUGUGAGUUCUUAUGUUUGAUGUUCUCUUAUGUAAGUAUGGAAGUGAAGAAAUAUGAAUACAAGAUUAAGGAAAUAGGUCUGGUCGUUUUUGGAAGAAGACAAGUGAAAAUGAAGACCAAAACACAAAGUCUUCACUUAUCUACCCAUUCCCAACAAGGCCAAAUGGAGGGUGGUGAUUGGAAGGCUUGUAUUUGCUGCAUUCUUGUGGUUCCUCCACGUUUUUGUAGCUUGAGAUAAGAUGGGGGCUGAUGCUUACUCAUUAUAAUCAAGUGUAAACAAUUUGAGAAUGGUCUUGUGCAACCUAGUCAACCAACCAAUCAAAUUGCAC